AAACCUCUCUCUACACACGAACUUUUCCUACUUUAUCUCUUCUCCCGAUUUUCUCUCUUAACCUAUUUUCUUUCAUCCCUAUUUUCUCUCUCUUAACUUCACGUGCCAAAGGUUUGCUUCUAAAAUAGUUAGCCCACGUUGUACCCAAAGCCUCCCAACGUUGGUUAUUAUUGAAAAGAUAAACCCUCUAGAUUUAUCCUUAUCCUAUUUAUA
rnacentral:lncRNA from 1 species